CUGGAGGUAUCAGAAGUGCGAAUGCUGACAUAAGUAACGAUAAAGCGGGUGAAAAGCCCGCUCGCCGGAAGACCAAGGGUUCCUGUCCAACGUUAAUCGGGGCAGGGUGAGUCGACCCCUAAGGCGAGGCCGAAAGGCGUAGUCGAUGGGAAACGGGUUAAUAUUCCCGUACUUGGUGUUACUGCGAAGGGGGGACGGAGAAGGCUAUGUUGGCCGGGCGACGGUUGUCCCGGUUUAAGCGUGUAGGUGUGUGUUCCAGGUAAAUCCGGUUCACUUUAACACUGAGGCGUGAUGACGAGGCACUACGGUGCUGAAGCAACAAAUGCCCUGCUUCCAGGAAAAGCCUCUAAGCAUCAGGUAACAUCAAAUCGUACCCCAAACCGACACAGGUGGUCAGGUAGAGAAUACCAAGGCGCUUGAGAGAACUCGGGUGAAGGAACUAGGCAAAAUGGUGCCGUAACUUCGGGAGAAGGCACGCUGACACGUAGGUGAAGUGAUUUACUCAUGGAGCUGAAGUCAGUCGAAGAUACCAGCUGGCUGCAACUGUUUAUUAAAAACACAGCACUGUGCAAACACGAAAGUGGACGUAUACGGUGUGACGCCUGCCCGGUGCCGGAAGGUUAAUUGAUGGGGUCAGCGCAAGCGAAGCUCCUGAUCGAAGCCCCGGUAAACGGCGGCCGUAACUAUAACGGUCCUAAGGUAGCGAAAUUCCUUGUCGGGUAAGUUCCGACCUGCACGAAUGGCGUAAUGAUGGCCAGGCUGUCUCCACCCGAGACUCAGUGAAAUUGAACUCGCUGUGAAGAUGCAGUGUACCCGCGGCAAGACGGAAAGACCCCGUGAACCUUUACUAUAGCUUGACACUGAACAUUGAGCCUUGAUGUGUAGGAUAGGUGGGAGGCUUUGAAGUGUGGACGCCAGUCUGCAUGGAGCCGACCUUGAAAUACCACCCUUUAAUGUUUGAUGUUCUAACGUGGACCCGUAAUCCGGGUUGCGGACAGUGUCUGGUGGGUAGUUUGACUGGGGCGGUCUCCUCCUAAAGAGUAACGGAGGAGCACGAAGGUUGGCUAAUCCUGGUCGGACAUCAGGAGGUUAGUGCAAUGGCAUAAGCCAGCUUGACUGCGAGCGUGACGGCGCGAGCAGGUGCGAAAGCAGGUCAUAGUGAUCCGGUGGUUCUGAAUGGAAGGGCCAUCGCUCAACGGAUAAAAGGUACUCCGGGGAUAACAGGCUGAUACCGCCCAAGAGUUCAUAUCGACGGCGGUGUUUGGCACCUCGAUGUCGGCUCAUCACAUCCUGGGGCUGAAGUAGGUCCCAAGGGUAUGGCUGUUCGCCAUUUAAAGUGGUACGCGAGCUGGGUUUAGAACGUCGUGAGACAGUUCGGUCCCUAUCUGCCGUGGGCGCUGGAGAACUGAGGGGGGCUGCUCCUAGUACGAGAGGACCGGAGUGGACGCAUCACUGGUGUUCGGGUUGUCAUGCCAAUGGCACUGCCCGGUAGCUAAAUGCGGAAGAGAUAAGUGCUGAAAGCAUCUAAGCACGAAACUUGCCCCGAGAUGAGUUCUCCCUGAGACUUAGAGUCUCCUGAAGGAACGUUGAAGACGACGACGUUGAUAGGCCGGGUGU
rnacentral:rRNA from 1 species